AUUGAACGCUGGCGGCAUGCUUUACACAUGCAAGUCGAGCGGCAGCGCGGGGGCAACCCUGGCGGCGAGCGGCGAACGGGUGAGGAAUACAUCGGAACGUACCCCGGAGUGGGGGAUAACGCCGCGAAAGCGGCGCUAAUACCGCAUAUGCUCUGAGGAGGAAAGUGGGGGACCUGCAAGGGCCUCACGCUCUGGGAGCGGCCGAUGUCCGAUUAGCUAGUUGGUGGGGUAAAGGCCCACCAAGGCGACGAUCGGUAGCUGGUCUGAGAGGAUGAUCAGCCACACUGGGACUGAGACACGGCCCAGACUCCUACGGGAGGCAGCAGUGGGGAAUUUUGGGACAAUGGGGGGCAACCCUGAUCCAGCCAUGCCGCGUGCGGGAAGAAGGCCUGGUGUAACGCUUUAGUCGGU
rnacentral:rRNA from 1 species